rnacentral:rRNA from 1 species
ACGGGAGGCAGCAGUGGGGAAUAUUGGACAAUGGGGGAAACCCUGAUCCAGCGACGCCGCGUGAGUGAAGAAGUAUUUCGGUAUGUAAAGCUCUAUCAGCAGGGAAGAUAAUGACGGUACCUGACUAAGAAGCCCCGGCUAACUACGUGCCAGCAGCCGCGGUAAUACGGAGGAUCCGAGCGUUAUCCGGAUUUAUUGGGUUUAAAGGGUGCGCAGGCGGCUUUCUAAGUCAGUGGUUAAAUAGCGGUGCUCAACGCCGUCCCGCCAUUGAUACUGGAGAGCUUGAUUGCGGUCGAGGUUUGCGGAAUUCGUCGUGUAGCGGUGAAAUGCAUAGAUAUGACGAAGAACACCGAUUGCGUAGGCAGCAGACCAGACCGUAAAUGACGCUCAUGCACGAAAGUGCGGGGAUCGAACAGGAUUAGAUACCCUGGUA